UACGUAGGGGGCAAGCGUUGGUCCGGAAUCAUUGGGCGUAAAGAGCGUGUAGGCGGUUCGGUAAGUCGGCUGUGAAAGUCCAGGGCUCAACCCUGGGAUGCCGGAUCGAGUACUGCCGGACUAGAGUUCGGAAGAGGCGAGUGGAAUUCCCGGUGUAGCGGUGAAAUGCGCAGAUAUACGGGAGGAACACCUAUGGCGAAGGGCAAUCCCCUGG
rnacentral:rRNA from 1 species